GUCGGCAGUUAGCUCUCUGCAACUCUCACAUGGCCACCCACUGAAGCUAAGCAGGGCUGCGCCCUGUCAGUACCUGGAUGGGAGACCACAUGGGAAAGCAAUGGUUGCUGCCGGAA
rnacentral:rRNA from 1 species